CAUACCCGACAAAAAAAAAAGUUGUCUAGCUGGUCCUGCUGCUUCUGCUGGCUACUAUGGAAAGAAGUCAACAGAACCUUAUCGGGUUCAGUUACGGCUGACUUGGACAUUAUUUUCAAGAGAGCAAUAAGGAGCUUUGCAGGGACAGUGCUCUGAAGCCCUAAUCCACAGCCAAGGAGAACUAAGAGUCCCAAUUCAAUAAGGGUGACAAUACAAGGCGUGCACCAGAGAGGAGACAUCAUAUCUGUGUCAUCUACAGAUACUGCUCGAAAAAUCAUACAUAAUUAAGCCCUUCUCACAGUGGAGGCUACUUGAAGCUUUAUCACCAGCUGGUAAGAUUUCAUCUCUGGAUUUUACCAGUGGCCUCGAGAGUGAACGUUUUCCACCAGAGGUACCUGAUGAUCUGGGCGACACGCUUACCGCACCUGUUCUAGUCAUCUAAUAAAAGAUGCUCUGCACUAAAAAAGGAAAGGAAAACAGAAUGGAGGUGUAUAACAAAUAUUUGUAGGGUGUCCCCGAGGUGGCUUCCCAGAUGAGAGGUUCUGUUCUAUUAAUCCUGGUGCAACAAAUAAAGAAGAUGUGACAGGCACAUGGACGUCUGCGUGCCCACCUUGCUUGUCUUCAGUUGGCCCUCUCUGGAAGCAGGCGUGUAUUUCUCUUGAACAACAGCAGAUGAGAAGAUGAUUUAAUGUGCAUUGCGGGAGAGACAGAGAGACAAACAGAAAACCCAGGGGCAGUGACUUGCUUGGAGGCCUCCAAGGUAUGCAGGAAAGCCCCCAAAUUGUAAAACCUUCGAGGCCUAAUAACCUGGAAGCAGUUCUGAUUAGGUACCCACUAUGCGAGCCAAGCACAUCUGGAUGCUAGAAACGUAACAUCGAACUGAAAAGACCAGUAGUGGUUUUAAAAUAUAUCCACAAAUUCUUUGACACUACCCCCUUCCAAAGGCAGAGGCUAUUAUUUCCUCUCCCUCUGAGUGUAGGCUGGACCUAGUGACUUGUUUCUAAGGAGUAGAAUGUUAUGCAAAUGACAGCGGGUGACAUCCAAGAGUAGUCAUAGAACAA